AUUGAACGCUGGCGGCAGGCCUAACACAUGCAAGUCGAGCGUGAAAGUCCUUCGGGAUGAGUAAAGCGGCGGACGGGUGAGUAACGCGUAGGAUUCUACCUGGUAGUGGGGGAUAACGUUCCGAAAGGGACGCUAAUACCGCAUACGUUCUGCGGAAGAAAGCAGGGGACCUUCGGGCCUUGCGCUAUCAGAUGAGCCUGCGUCCGAUUAGCUAGUUGGUGGGGUAAAGGCCUACCAAGGCGACGAUCGGUAACUGGUCUGAGAGGAUGAUCAGUCACACUGGAACUGAGACACGGUCCAGACUCCUACGGGAGGCAGCAGUGGGGAAUAUUGGACAAUGGGCGCAAGCCUGAUCCAGCCAUGCCGCGUGUGUGAAGAAGGCCUUCGGGUUGUAAAGCACUUUAAGCGGGGAGGAAGGCCUGAUGGCUAAUAUCCAUCAGGAUUGACGUUACCCGCAGAAUAAGCACCGGCAAACUUCGUGCCAGCCGCCGCGGUAAAAC
rnacentral:rRNA from 1 species